rnacentral:rRNA from 1 species
AACGAACGCUGGCGGCAGGCUUAACACAUGCAAGUCGAGCGCCCCGAAAGGGGAGCGGCAGACGGGUGAGUAACGCGUGGGAAUGUGCCCUUUGGUCUGGAAUAACUCAGGGAAACUUGAGCUAAUACCGGAUAAGCCCUUCGGGGGAAAGAUUUAUUGCCAUUGGAGCAGCCCGCGUCAGAUUAGCUAGUUGGUGAGGUAAAAGCUCACCAAGUCGAUUAUCUGUAGCUGGUCUGAGAGGACGAUCAGCCACACUGGGACUGAGACACGGCCCAGACUCCUACAGGAGGCAGCAGUGGGGAAUAUUGGACAAUGGGGGCAACCCUGAUCCAGCCAUGCCGCGUGAGUGAUGAAGGCCUUAGGGUUGUAAAGCUCUUUUACUCGGGAAGAUAAUGACUGUACCGAGAGAAUAAGCCCCGGCUAACUUCGUGCCAGCCGCCGCAGUAA